UACGGAGGGUGCAAGCGUUGUUCGGAAUUACUGGGCGUAAAGCGCGUGUAGGCGGUCUCUUAAGUCUGGUGUGAAAGCCCGGGGCUUACCCCCGGAAGUGCACUGGAAACUGGGAAACUGGAGUACCGGAGAGGAGGGUGGAAUUCCUGGUGUAGCGGUGAAAUGCGUAGAUAUCAGGAGGAACACCGGUGGCGAAGGCGGCCCUCUGGACGGAUACUGACGCUGAGACGCGAAAGCGUGGGGAGCAAACAGG
rnacentral:rRNA from 1 species